rnacentral:rRNA from 1 species
UAGGGAAUCUUCCGCAAUGGGCGAAAGCCUGACGGAGCAACGCCGCGUGAGUGAUGAAGGUCUUCGGAUCGUAAAACUCUGUUGUUAGAGAAGAACAGCGCAUAGAGUAACUGUUAUGCGUGUGACGGUAUCUAACCAGAAAGCCACGGCUAACUACGUGCCAGCAGCCGCGGUAAUACGUAGGUGGCAAGCGUUGUCCGGAUUUAUUGGGCGUAAAGCGAGCGCAGGCGGUCAAUUAAGUCUGAUGUGAAAGCCCCCGGCUCAACCGGGGAGGGUCAUUGGAAACUGGUUGACUUGAGUGCAGAAGAGGAGAGUGGAAUUCCAUGUGUAGCGGUGAAAUGCGUAGAUAUAUGGAGGAACACCGGUGGCGAAAGCGGCUCUCUGGUCUGUAACUGACGCUGAGGCUCGAAAGCGUGGGGAGCGAACAGG